UACGGAGGGUGCAAGCGUUAUCCGGAUUCACUGGGUUUAAAGGGUGCGUAGGUGGGCUUGUAAGUCAGUGGUGAAAUCUCCGUGCUUAACAUGGAAACUGCCAUUGAUACUAUGAGUCUUGAAUUUUCUGGAGGUCAGCGGAAUAUGUCAUGUAGCGGUGAAAUGCUUAGAUAUGACAUAGAACACCGAUUGCGAAGGCAGCUGGCUACAGGGAUAUUGACACUGAGGCACGAAAGCGUGGGGAUCAAACAGG
rnacentral:rRNA from 1 species